GGUAACUCACAAAAGUGAGUGAUGCACCUAUAUUGCCAUCUUUUAAGCAGAAUUUUCUGCUUGAUGCCAAUCAGGAAGGAGAUAAGAUUCUUCGUUGCUUGGAACAUCGCAACCGGAUUAGCUGCUUGAACAAAUGGUAAAGAAAGACUGAUUUGAAGAAUGGGUGAUUUUGGAUGGUAUCCUUCUUUACAAUCUUUUCGUAGAUGCUAUUUUCUUUCUAUAUUUAGUUUGGGUAGUGUUUUAUCUGUUUGGGGUUAACAGGUUUGGUCAUUUUUUUACUCAUGUUUGUAUUAGUUGUGUGUUUAAAUGUUCAGAGUUCAGGUGUGUGAUUCAAACCGUAUCAGUAGAGGACACGUUUUUUUUCCAUGUCAUACCGUAGACGAUAGUAUGGAUCCUUUCAAAUUAAUUCGGUUGGAAGUAGUUUUUCUGUUUUUUUCAUUCAUGUUUGUAUAGAUGUGUCUGUUCUAACGAACGUUGGAUAUUUUAAGAGGCAAGUACAAAUAUUUGGGGAUGCUUUAUUGUCUGACCUAAAUCUUUUCCCUUUUAAAUGGAUCUUCUGAACAAUCAUGUUGAUCUGCUUAUCUUAUAGUAUGCUUUCCCUAUAUUUUUGUCAGUUGUCUUUGUGACUCUUAGCACUGAUCCCCAUAUAUGUAAACUUUUACGCCAAUUGGUAAAUCCUUGCAGGACUAGCAGACCAAUUUUCCAUUAACAUACUCAUCUCUGAGAAAUAUUGUUCAUUGGCUGUACUUUAAUAGAUUGGCCCUCAGCUCUGUACCAUUUUAAAGUUUUGUAACAAAUUAUAUUUGGACACAGGUCCAAUGAAGUCCCCUUGGCUAUUGAGGUUCUGUCUAUAGUGUUAAAAAAGAAUGAUUUCUAGGAAUACGGCAAAGGGAAAGAUUUCCAUCAUAGGUUACCGCUCUUCUUAAAAAAAAGAAUUCAUAAACUUAACCGACAAAUAUGUGUUAUCCAGAUAUAUCUUGAUGAUUAAAUUUGUUUUGGUAUGGCAGCACGAAGACGUAAUGCCCUGGGAAACUCCAGGUUUUUGUAGAACAAUGUGGUCUUCUUCUCAUGAUGAGCUUGCUGCUGUCUGAUUUUUGAUAGCGGAUGGUUAAAUGGUAAGAGUAAUUUGGAACCGAUAAAUUUUAUAUUUAUGAUUAAUUGGCAUUUUUAUAAACCGGUAACAAUUUAUUGGCAUAUUGGUUCUCAGUGUACUGGAUUGGGUACUCAAGGUAUUCUCCGUAAUAGGCUAAGACAUCUUUAAUUUGUUUGUAAUAUUUUCUUACUUAUUGGACGUCUCAUUUCUGGAGAUUCUCUUUAAGUAAACGCAAGUCUGAACAAAGAUUUUUAAAACUAAGAACUUCGCUAGAUCGUGCAUAGAAAUGAAGGUAGACUAAAUCUCUAACCUUGAUUAUAUCUGCUUUACGAUUUCAUAUACAUACUAUAUGGAGUUCUUGACUAUGGCUAUAGAAAAACAAAUUAUUAUAAAUAUAUUUUUGAUUAAGAUUGAUCCAAAAAGUAGUCGUAAAAGGUUUGUUCAAGUAAAGGCAUCCAUAUCAGCUGUUGGCUAAAACAUAGAAAAUUAUCAAGUAUAAGUAAAUGUCUCUGACCGUUAUCAUCUAAGACAGUGGUCAUCGGUAAGGAAAGGCAGCAUGUAUAUUACAAGCAUAUUGGUAAGAGGUAGACAAACAAUGAUGGUAAGAGGUGUUGAAGUUUCAAUUGGAUGUCUCAUAUGGGUCCUUCUAUAACAAUUUAACAUUAUGCAAAGGAAUACUAUUUGGUGGUUUGGUCUAUUGAUUUACUUGAAUGGGUGUUUGCUUUUUGUUACUGUUCAUCCUAUUUUUAUUUCAUUAGGAAUCUUCCUAUUGUAAUUCCUAUGAGAAGUGUAUGCAUUCGACAUACUGCAAGUUUGAUUUCUAUCUGAACUUCUCAUUCUCAUGAUGGUAAUUAGAGUACAAAAGCUAGAAGGUAUUAUGCAUUACUGCAAGUUUGAUUUCUAUCUGAACUUCUCAUUUUCCGAAUUGCAAUUAAAGUAGUGUAUUUGAAUAUGUAUCUAGAUAACGAUGACAUAAACAGGUGCUCAAACAGUUCAUUGAAGUCUGUAGGGGAACAAAUGACUUUGUGCAAUUUUCUCUCACCAGUAUCCAAUUAACUUCUCCAUCUGUCUCAGAUUUCAGUUGUUGCACAGAGUCAACAAGAUUAUUGUUAAAAUAUCCUUAAUGUUAUUGGAGUUAUUCAGACAUGAUAGAAUAUAACCCUUAUGACUGAACAAAACCGUGAAAAGUUUUUAAUCCACUCUUAGCACUCCCUCACCUUCUAUAAUUCGUCUUUGGAGACCUGAAGCCGAGUAAACCUCAUAUACCAGUGGUCAAGAUUGGUGCCUCUCAAACAGAAAUGGAUCAUCAAGCAGAAUAUUUGAUGCAACAAACUUAUCUUUUCUCAGAGGUAAAUUACUAGCAACUAAGCUGCCUGUGGUGAUAGAUAUGCACAAUUUCGAGGAAAAGCUUGCAUGAAGUCAGCAGCAUGUUAUUUUUUGUCCUUCCACGGGUCUAUUGCUCCAGAAUAUGGAUAGCUUGGUUAGGUUUUUGUUCCUUAACUCUCUUAUCAAUCUAUUAUUAUAACAUAUCUGAAACUUAGAUGGAGGUUUUAUUAUUCUUAGUUAGCGAAACCAUUUGAUGGAAAUGGAAAUAAAUGAGUGAUGAUUCGAUUCCCCUACUAAUAGUAGUUGCUUAAGUAGUCAUCUGUUCAAACAUAUUGUUUGAUAAUGAUUUUAUAUUACUUGCAAUUACACUGCUCAUGAGGUGCAUUGAAUGUCGAUCAAGGAUGUGAACGAGGUGUAUCCUACAUGUUUGAUAACACUUCUUAAAUCAGCUAAUUGCAUCAUCCACAAUACUUAUUUCGCUGCCCGAGUUGCGCUCUUCAAAGAACGAAGUACUUCUUGAACUAUUGUUAAAAGGCCAUCUAAAGGUAAAAGACGUUGAUGCACAUGUGCAUCUAUUUUACUUUCACAAAACAUUCUUCAUGAAAUCUGAACUGUACCAGGGAUCCUCAGCUGCAAGAAAGUAGACCGAUUCUAUCAUUUAUAUAUUUACAGUUGCAUCAUAUACAUGAUCGCAAAGUUUUACUAUCUCAGUUCCAUAUGUAGUAGAUGUGUAUUCUGUGUGGCUGGACCUUCUGAGAAUCCCUCACUGUUUAAACUAACCCAUGAUUUAUGUGCACGAGUAUGAAUCUGUGGCGCAAUGGUAGCGCGUCUGACUCCAUGUCAGAAGGUUGCGUGUUCGCAUCACGCCAGGUUGCUUUAGUUCUUAUGGUCUUACACCUUUUGGUUGAACAUACAGAAAAAACUGCAUAUAUUAAUAGUUUUGGGACUUCACAAAAUUAUUAAUAUAUGGAGUUCAUCAAUAUAGGGAGGUAUGGCAGGUACUUUCAUUUUUAAUCGGGAAAACUAGAUUUGUCUAGCUAGGUACUUUCUUCUCUUUCAUCUUCAGAUUUUACACUCAAAGAAAUUUGUGUAUUUUCAGUUUAAGAGUCUUCAAUUUCUGUACAUGAUUAGUAUUCUUCUUCAUCUUCAAAGGUUUCUAUGGUUCUUCAGGACCCAAAAAUACUUGGUAAAUGAAAAAUACUUGCUAAAUAUAUACGAUCUUCAUUAGCAGCUUGAGUUGUGCAUAUUCUGAAACACAUAUUCAAUCGCCAUUCUAUACUUCAACGUAUUUUAGUAAUCAAAGUAUCAAACUCAUAUCUGACGGUUUAGUCGCUGAGAAUCUCAAAUAGUAUGUACAAUUUCCUGAUCAUUCCUUAUCUGAAUGCUUCUUACGCGAGUUGUUAUUUAUUCUCAUUUGGAGUCUGUCAUGUACUUAUGCUUUCAGUCCUUACUCCUGCAGUCCUUCUAUUGAUGUAAUAAGUUAUUUUCUUUCGAUAUGCAGCUAGAAAUGUUGAACCAGAAGGGUGUCAUGAAACAUGGGGUACUGUUGAGUUUGAAAAUACGUCGGAUUUUAAGUAUGGAUGUUUUCAUUUUGAAAUUGAAGAUGUUCGUACUUCGUAGUGAAGCUGUUGAUGAGGUUGUCUUUGUAGAAACUGAAGAUGCUUAUUGUCGAAACCUGAUGAGAUUUUUAUACUCUUUUCCUUUUAUUGAAAUUUUUUGUGACAUCUCAAAAUUUCCCUUUGCUUAUCUUUCUAUUUGUUACUUUGGAAGCAGCAGUACAUGCAAAAAUAGAAUCCCAACAUGACUGCACUAAUAUGUCAUA